AUAAUAAAUAGUCUUUUAAUUGAAGGCUGGUAUGAAAGAUUGGACGAGAUAAUUACUGUCUCAUUUUAAUUUAUUAUUGAAUUUUAUUUUUAAGUUAAAAAGCUUAAAUUUAAUUAAAGGACGAGAAGACCCUAUAGAGCUUUAUAUUUAUUUAGUAAUUUUUAAAAAUUUUAUAAUUAUUUUAUAUAAGUAUUUUAUUGGGGCGAUAAUAAAAUUUAUUAAACUUUUUUAAUUUUAAAACAUAAAUUAAUGAAUUUUUGAUCCUAAUUUUUAGAUUAAUAGAUUAAGUUACCUUAGGGAUAACAGCGUUAUUUUUUUAUUAAGUUCUUAUUAAUGAAAGAGUUUGC
rnacentral:rRNA from 1 species